AGAAUCCGAGAAUUUCACCUCUGACAGUUAAAUACGAAUGCCCCCAACUAUCCCUAUUUUUAUUACCUCGCUCCGAAAACCAACAACUUCAGAACAAGGUCCUAUGUUAUUAUUCCAUGCUAACGUAUUCACGACAAACGCCUGCUUGAAACACUCUCAUUUCCUCAAAGUAAAAGUACUGGAUCAUGUGCCACACAAUGAAGUGCAAACACGUUCCCCAGAAAAGUGCCAAAGACGGACCGGGUGCACAUCACUAGGAUGGACCGGAGAUCUUCAACAAAUAUUCAACUACGAGCGUUUUAACCGCAACAAUUUUAAUAUACGCUAUUGGAGCUGGAAUUACCG
rnacentral:misc_RNA from 1 species